CACUGAAGCUUACAAAAACUUAAGAGAAGAUCUUUAAAACAGGAAUGAUUGUUAUAAACAGGACUCUUUCGCAGUAUGAUACGACAUUGUGCAGUGAGAGAGCGACAGGAAAGUGGGGGAGAAGGAUGUGUGUGAAAGGGCCACGAGUGGGAGUCGAACUCAUGACCUCCACAUCAGGACUGUAGUCCUGCACAUGGGACACCAGCUCAACCAGGUGAGCCAUAGCGGCGCCCCUGUAUUUGCUUGUUACAUAUAAAGUAUAUGUGAGGAAGGUGAAACUAUAAAGAAAGAAGCGGACAGUAGUUGUUUUUUGUUUUUUUUUGUUUUUGUCAUACUUUGUGUCCUUCAAUUAAUUCAUCCUUUACACUUUCACCCCAGUCUCUGGUUAAUGUUAUUGCUCGAUUGUAAUUCUGUAUGUAUGUACGUAUCUACAGUAUGAAAAGAUAAGUAGAAGUGUGUAGAGGAUUUGGAAGGUUUUUAACCUGAUUAACAAUCAGAGGUGAAUAUAAGCAAACAUACUCUACAACAACAUGGUAGCAUAUACAAGCUUUACUGAGCAAAGUGUUUAAUAAAUGCAUCUUGUAAUAUCAA